GCCUUCGUGGUGUAAUGGUCAGCACACUGAGCUAGUAUUUCAGAGGUCCGUGGUUCGAUUCCCGGCGAAGGAA
rfam:Stegodyphus mimosarum contig46534, whole genome shotgun sequence.